GCCCGGGUAGCUCAAUCGGUAGAGCGUGUGGCUCUUAAAAUCAGAGAAAUCUGACUCUUCAAGAGAAAUAUAAACCUCAAGGUCGUGGGUUCGAGCCCCACCUCGGGCU
rnacentral:tRNA from 1 species